rnacentral:rRNA from 1 species
GAUGAACGCUGGCGGCGUGCUUAACACAUGCAAGUCGAACGGAAAGGCCCUGCUUUUGUGGGGUGCUCGAGUGGCGAGCGGGUGAGUAACACGUGAGUAACCUGCCCUUGUCUUUGUGAUAACUUCAGGAAACUGGGGCUAAUACCGGAUAGGAGCUCCUGCUGCAUGGUGGGGGAUGGAAAGUUUCGGCGGUUGGGGCUGGAAUAGCGGCUUAUCAGCUUGUUGGGGGAGUAGGGGAUGACCAAGGCUUUGACGGGUAGCCGGCCUGGGAGGGUGACCGGGCACAUUGGGACUGCGAUACGCCCCAGUCGCCAACGGGAGGCAGCAGUCGGGAGUAUUGCACAAUGGGCGGAAGCCUGAUGCAGCAGCGCCGCGUGCGGGAUGACGGCCUUCGGGGUGUAAACCGCUUUCGCCUGUGACGAAGCGUGAGUGACGGUAAUGGGUAAAGAAGCACCGGCUAACUACGUG